rnacentral:rRNA from 1 species
ACUGAGCGGCGGACGGGUGAGUAACGCGUGGGUAACCUGCCUCAUACAGGGGGGUAACAGUUGGAAACGGCUGCUAAUACCGCAUAAGCGCACAGUACCGCAUGGUACGGUGUGAAAAACUCCGGUGGUAUGAGAUGGACCCGCGUCUGAUUAGGUAGUUGGUGGGGUAACGGCCUACCAAGCCGACGAUCAGUAGCCGACCUGAGAGGGUGACCGGCCACAUUGGGACUGAGACACGGCCCAA